GUGGGCUCUUUCUCCUGUGAGUGGGCUAAGCAGUGAUAAAUGACAUCUGGGACCAAACUGAGGAUGACUGUAACCAUCCAAGUAUUUGAGGCUCUGCUGAGAAAGUCUCUGAGAACCAGCUCUUGAUUCACGAAAACUCCUCAAAAUUGUCAUCCUGCAGAGAGAAGGAGAAAGGUCUACCUCUCCUGUCCCAGAUCCCUCACUUUUCUAGUUGCCCAUGAGUAUCAGUGCAUGUUAUCCUACAAAUUCCAGAAGUCACCUAGAGUGGGAAGGGUCAAGGCACUCUCCCAUGCUUUUCAACAUUAUCUCUGAAGGGCACCUUUAGUAGCCAGCAAAAGCCUUGUGUACUCUAAGGGACAGCUUCCUGACAGAAGCAAAGGAUGUAGGAAGAAGGAAUCUAGCAGAAGAGGCCAAUCCGCCAUGUAAAGUUUGACCCUAUCUUUUUAAGAAAAGAAAAAAAAAAAAAAACCCAGUGACAGUCAUGAUGAUUCUAUUUACUUUUAUCCUUUAAGAAUACCACUCCGAUUUUGAACCUUCACACAAUGCUGAACUAUGGUCAUCAAAAACAU